rnacentral:rRNA from 1 species
AGCGAACGCUGGCGGCAGGCCUAACACAUGCAAGUCGAACGAAGCCUUCGGGCUUCGUGGCGGACGGGUGAGUAACACGUGGGAACGUACCUUUUGGUUCGGAACAACUCAGGGAAACUUGAGCUAAUACCGGAUGAGCCCUUAGGGGGAAAGAUUUAUCGCCGAAAGAGCGGCCCGCGUUAGAUUAGCUAGUUGGUGAGGUAAAGGCUCACCAAGGCAACGAUCUAUAGCUGGUCUGAGAGGAUGAUCAGCCACACUGGGACUGAGACACGGCCCAGACUCCUACGGGAGGCAGCAGUGGGGAAUCUUGCGCAAUGGGCGAAAGCCUGACGCAGCCAUGCCGCGUGAAUGAUGAAGGUCUUAGGAUUGUAAAAUUCUUUUACCAGGGACGAUAAUGACGGUACCUGGAGAAAAAGCCCCGGCUAACUUCGUGCCAGCAGCCGCGGUAAUAC